UACGUAGGGUGCGAGCGUUGUCCGGAUUUAUUGGGCGUAAAGGGCUCGUAGGCGGCGUGUCGCGUCGGGAGUGAAAGCCCGUUGCUUAACGGCGGGUUGGCUUUCGGUACGGGCAUGCUGGAGUGCGGCAGGGGAGACUGGAAUUCCUGGUGUAGCGGCGGAAUGCGCAGAUAUCAGGAGGAACACCGGUGGCGAAGGCGGGUCUCUGGGCCGUUACUGACGCUGAGGAGCGAAAGCGUGGGGAGCGAACAGG
rnacentral:rRNA from 1 species